GAUGAACGCUAGACGACAGGCCUAACACAUGCAAGUCGAGGGGCAGCACAAGGAGCAAUCUGAGGUGGCGACCGGCGCACGGGUGAGUAACACGUAUGCAACCUACCUGUAAGAGGGGAAUAACCCGUUGAAAAACGGACUAAUACCGCAUAACACUGUAGAACCGCAUGGUUUGACAGUUAAACAUUUAUGGCUUACAGAUGGGCAUGCGCAUGAUUAGCUAGUUGGUGAGGUAACGGCUCACCAAGGCAACGAUCAUUAGGGGUUCUGAGAGGAAGGUCCCCCACACUGGUACUGAGACACGGACCAGACUCCUACGGGAGGCAGCAGUGAGGAAUAUUGGUCAAUGGGCGAGAGCCUGAACCAGCCAAGUCGCGUGAAGGAUGAAGGUUUUAUGAAUUGUAAACUUCUUUUGCAGGGGAAUAAAGUGUCCGACGUGUCGGAUUUUGUAUGUACUCUGCGAAUAAGGAUCGGCUAACUCCGUG
rnacentral:rRNA from 1 species